GAUCACAAUGACAGAUAUAAUAACAUAAUAGUAACAGAAAAGUUGAAAAAUGCAGAUUACCAAAAUGUGAGCUCACGCUUUUGGAAAAAAUGGUUCCAAUAGACUCACCAGAUGCAGGGUGCCACAAAUCUUCGAUUUGUAAAAAACGAAGUGUCUGUGAACCACAGUAAAGGUGAAGUGCAACAAAAUUAUGGUAUGCCUGUAUGGAAACGCAGAGCUCACACCCUUCUGAUGAACAGACAAGUGUCGGAUCCUUUUCUGUGCUAGCAAAGGAUUUUAAGGGUUUGGAAUUCUCUCAAAGUGUAAAGCUCUUAGGAGGGCGUUACUGGGCAAAGCAGUGCUUUAUCUCAUUCUCUUGUUUGCCUGUUCAAACUUCGUACCCAUUGUAGACCCACUUGCUGUGUUAUUGCAGGUUAAGCCCCCGAGACCCUUUUCUCUCGCCUCUUCUGUUCACUUACCAUCCCUUUUCCUUUUCAGGUCAUCCUCCAUGUCCUUCCGAUGUCCACAUGGCUCUUCAUUUUCUUCUCAGGCCUCCUCUUUCUCUCUUGCCAUCUAAGUUAUUGAAAUUCUUGAAAUCCUAAGCUGGCCUGGCACUGAGAGGUAAGCACCUGAGAGUGUCAGUCUUCCCUAGAUAAAUGGAACUGUGCACAGAUCUGGGACUGCUGGAAGGGUGUGAGGUAGGAGUUUAAGGAUGGCGCAAGUAGGGUGGGGCUAAAAAAGACCUUGUCUUCUUUAUAUAGGAGCAUCGAGAUUAAACUUGGUACUGAAUUCAGCAGUGUGCAGUUCAUUUCUUAUUUUCCACUGUAUUUCAUUUCAACCUAUCCUCUAUAUUUUACGAGCCCAAAGCCUUUAGAUAUGUGUAGAGGAAGGUGUGAUACAGCUUUCAAAUUCUUGAAAUUUGCCCAAGAAAUACUUUGUAUCAUGAGGUCUGCAGUUAUUUAUACAAAUCCCUGAAAAUGUUUCAUGGCAAAUCUGUAGCACCCAGUUGAGAUGAAACCAAACUGGAAAAAUCUCUGUGGCUGUGGUUAUUGUCAGUUCUGUAAGAUGAAGAUGGGACCAGUGACAAGAAUGUGCACUAUUUACUGAGCACUCACCUGCACGGGGCCAUGUGCUUUUCAGACAUUGCCUCUUUCAGUCUUGAGCACAAUGCCAGUUGUGCCAUCCCCUGACAUACAGAUGAGAUGAAGAUCCAGACAUAACCAGCAAGGGCAGGGCUGGGAUGCGAUCCAUGUGUGCCUGGUUCCCAGGGUUCACAUGUUUGCAGUGUUCUCUCCAGAACGGUUUGCCUUAAUGAAGAGAGGAUUCAGGAUGUCCAGUUUCAGCCUCACUGGCUGGGCUGGAAUCUUCCAUUGACCCUUCCACUCUACAUUCCUCCCUGGCCUGGGAGGCUCACUCGAGUGGGCUUCUUGCUGGGCUUGGCCAGUGGGGGUUGCCAUCAGGAGACAACAGGGCAUCUGCUUCUCCAGGGCAUCCCCCAGGGCACAGUGCUCUGUGACUCAAGGGUCUGCCCCUCAUAGUUUCCCUAAACCUCACUCCUCUCUUUGUAAACAGCCCCUUUAUAAAUUAUCCACUUUGAGGGUGUCAUCUGCUUUCUGUCAGGAGCAGCACUGACUCACUAGCAUCACUCCUAAAUAAUGUGAACUUGUUUUGAUUUUUUGUUUGAGGCAGAGUCUCACUCUGUUUCCUAGGCUGGAGUGCAGUGGCAUGGUCUUGGCUCAUUCUGGGCUCAAGCAAUCCUUUCACCUUAGCCAUCCCAGUAGCUGGGACUAUAGGCAUGCACCACCAUGCUCGGCUAAUUUUUAAAAUAUUUGUAGAGAUGGGGUCUCGCUAUGUUGCCAGGCUGGUCUUGAACUCCAGGGCUCAAGUGAUCCUUCUGCCUCGGCUUCCUAAAGUGUUGGGAUUACAGGUAUGAGCAACUGCACCUGCCCAAUGAUGUGAACUUUUAGUAAGUUACUUCAGUUCUCUGGGCCCAACUUGCUUUACCUGUCAAGCAGGGACCAUGGUGCCUGGUCUCCCAGAUUGUGAAUGUCAAAACAGGUAGAGAGGCACUUCGGAAGAUAAACACUCCUCAGAAUGGGAGCUAGCAGUGUAAUUCCACAAGGCACAGAAUGGGCACUCAGUGCAUAGCCUUACUGGAAGUGGAGCUUCCUUUGUGAGAAAAGGAAACCUCUGAGACAGUGAAUAUGUUUCCAUUCCGAAAAGCUUGAUGCAAUCAAAAUAGAAGAAAGAGCACCGCUGAAGAGAAUAAGUGAAGAGAUCGUUGUUUUGUUUUUGCUUGUUUCUUUUUGGUAGUGACAGCGUAUUUCAUGUAGGAACCUGUGACAAAGCUCCACAUAAUAAACAUCAGAAAGUCAAGGAUGAUGGUUUUGGCCAAGGAGCAAAUGACACAUGCCACAGCUUUCCUGGCAGGUCUCCUUUUCUAGAUUGUGUCCUCCCGGAUAGGACUCUCAAGCAGCUGCAACAGGCAUCUUCCAGCUGGGAAAGGCCACUUGACCUCUUUUUCUCUUUCGAAAGCCAGGCAGCUGUGAGUCCAGGCUUGUCACUCCUGGGUGCAGGCUCAGGAAUUGAAGAUGGGUCUGCCAAGCCACACACCCUCGUUUGAAACACCUCUGCUCUGUGGCCAGGUUUUUCAGCCCCUCCCCACUCCCCAUCAGCAGUGGCUUCUGGAAUUUCCCUGUCUGUAGAAUGAAAAUAGUUACAUCAAAAUUUCUUCCCAAGGAGCUAAUUGGAAUAUUGUAAUACAAAUCUUUGCAGAGAAUCAAUACUGAGAGAUGCUAAAGGAGAAUUUAGCUCAUAUAAUUACUAAUAGGUAUCUCUUUUCCAGGUACUCUGUAAGGGAGCUGAAACUUCCAGCCUUUCUUCCUGUUCACAAACCCACCUUCAUCCGCCCCCAAUGCUGGACUUUGGUUUUUCAUGUUGCUUUUGCAGAACUUUAAAACAUUUGAAUCUUUCCCUGAUGAGUUUUUGUCCUGAGGGGCCGGUGCAGUUUGCUUGGCACUUUCUUUUCCUCUCAUAUAAUUUUUCCCUGCCAAUAAGGCAUUUAGGCAGAGAGAAAAAGUUAUUGAGCAUGUGCAUCCAAAUUUGAGAUGAUUGUUAUUUCAUUACCUGAUGACUUUUAACUUCUUUGAUACUGUGUUUGUCUUAUGAAUGUAAUGGCUUUCUCACUUUAAUGAAAAGUUACGCAAUAAAAUUGAAAAGU
rnacentral:sRNA from 1 species